AACUUGUGUUUACCGAGGGUUCGAAUCCCUCUCUUUCCU
rnacentral:tRNA from 1 species